rnacentral:rRNA from 1 species
GCGGAGGAAAAGAAACCAACUGGGAUUGCCUCAGUAACGGCGAGUGAAGCGGCAACAGCUCAAAUUUGAAAUCUGGCGCCUUGGGCGUCCGAGUUGUAAUUUGUAGAGGGAGUCUCGGGUUAAGGGUCGGUCCAAGUGCCUUGGAACAGGAUACCGAAGAGGGUGAGAGUCCCGUAUCCGGCCGACGCCAGCGCCCGUGUGAGGCCCCUUCGACGAGUCGAGUUGUUUGGGAAUGCAGCUCUAAAUGGGUGGUAAAUUCCAUCUAAAGCUAAAUACUGGCCAGAGACCGAUAGCGCACAAGUAGAGUGAUCGAAAGAUGAAAAGCACUUUGAAAAGAGAGUCAAACAGUACGUGAAAUUGUUGAAAGGGAAGCGUAUGUGGGCAGACUUGGACGCUGGAUUCAGGCCGCCUUCUGGCGGGUGUAUUUUCCAGCGGACAGGCCAGCAUCGGUUCUGAGGGCCGGACAAAGACGAAGGGAAUGUGGCUCCUCUCUGGGGAGUGUUAUAGCCCGGCGUGCAAUGCGGCCACUUGGGACCGAGGACCGCGC